rnacentral:rRNA from 1 species
AACGCGAAGAACCUUACCUGGGCUUGACAUGUGGGUGACCGGUGUGGAAACACACCUUCCCUUCGGGGCACCUUCACAGGUGGUGCAUGGCUGUCGUCAGCUCGUGUCGUGAGAUGUUGGGUUAAGUCCCGCAACGAGCGCAACCCCCGUCGCAUGUUGCCAGCAUUUAGUUGGGGACUCAUGCGAGACUGCCGGUGACAAACCGGAGGAAGGUGGGGAUGACGUCAAGUCCUCAUGCCCCUUAUGUCCAGGGCUACACACGUGCUACAUUGGCGCAUACAGAGGGCUGCGAUACCGCGAGGUGGAGCGAAUCCCUUAAAGUGCGUCUCGGUUCGGAUUGCAGGCUGAAAUUCGCCUGCAUGAAGGCGGAGUUGCUAGUAAUCGCGGAUCAUCAUUGCCGCGGUGAAUACGUUCCCGGGCCUUGUACACACCGCUACAGU